CGGGAGGAAGAUCACAGAAAUAAUAUAUUUUCUACAUUCUCUUGGUUUUGCGAUAAUUACAGUACACCAGUAUUUGUAUUGUGUGGUUUUGCACAUAAAACACAUUCUGUUUUUUUGAAGAUCACCAAAAAAACAAAAAACAAAACAAAACGAAUACACUUCCAAUCCUCUAGCCGCUAGCAACGUCAAUGUACUCCAUUUUAAAUCAAGCAAUGUGUGUGCAGGAAG